rnacentral:rRNA from 1 species
CCUACGGGAGGCAGCAGUGGGGAAUAUUGGACAAUGGGGGGAACCCUGAUCCAGCGACGCCGCGUGAGUGAAGAAGUAUUUCGGUAUGUAAAGCUCUAUCAGCAGGGAAGAAAGAAAUGACGGUACCUGAAUAAGAAGCCCCGGCUAACUACGUGCCAGCAGCCGCGGUAAUACGUAGGGGGCAAGCGUUAUCCGGAUUUACGGGGUGUAAAGGGAGCGUAGACGGCGAUGCAAGUCUGAAGUGAAAGGCGGGGGCCCAACCCCCGGACUGCUUUGGAAACUGUAUGGCUGGAGUGCAGGAGAGGGAAGUGGAAUGCCUAGUGUAGCGGUGAAAUGCGUAGAUAUUAGGAGGAACACCAGUGGCGAAGGCGGCUUACUGGACUGUAACUGACGUUGAGGCUCGAAAGCGUGGGGAGCAAACAGGAUUAGAUACCCCUGUAGUC